CCUGUCAUCGUCUAGUGGUUAGGACACCAGGUUUUGACCUGGUAAUUGACUUCCUGGUAACCUGGGUUCGACUCCCAGUGACAGGU
rnacentral:tRNA from 1 species